rnacentral:sRNA from 1 species
CAACUUCAUCUGUCCAUGUCGUAGCUCCGGAUGAGCACAUUUUAACGGUCCAGGAGGCAUUGGAGCCUUUAUACAUGAAACUCGAACAGGAGGCGGAGGCCAAGCUGCUGCAGGCGGCGGUGUCUGCAGGUUGGUCAGCCGAAGA